GUGCUCAGGAAAGCUCGCGAAAGGAAACGUUCGUGUCGUCCGCAGAUGGCAUUUUACCUGGUCGAGUGAAACCCUGUUUGAAAAAUUUAUUUGUUUGUUUGUUUGUUUGUUUGGCAUUAUGGAGUGUCCGGGAUAGGAAUGUUUUUGUAAUUUAUAAAGGAUAUCGGUUUUUCAACAUCUUGUUAAGGGAGGAUAUAAAAAGGGGUAAAAUAUAAGGGAAAACGGAAAUAUUAUACAAAGCGUACCUAUAGGAGGCUUGUCAUUUGAUGCGAGUGAAGGUGAGCCUUCCCCUGGUGUAUAAAAGGUACAUAAAAGGUAGUCUAGAAAGUCCAGAGUAAAUCAAGUGAAACUGCUGUUCCUUUAGCCUCCUGUCUGUGCUCCGUGGGGUGGUCACCCACUUUGGAGCCUGUCACUUUCCCAGCUGUUGCUGGCAGUGUUUUCAGCUAUAUGUCUGUGUACAUCUGUCCUUUUCCUUCUCCUGGGAGAAUCUCUCAAAUCGGCUGCUUUUGUUGUCAUUACGCUUUCAGACAAACCUUCUGGAAUAUAAUGAAAAAAAAAAAAAAGUGAAAUGCCAAAUGAGGUGCUACCAGCUUAAUCGACUUCCAGC